CCUCAAGUUCGUAUUAAGGCUAGCACUGGGAUUUUUAACAUCGUGACUCUUACAGACCCUUUUUUUUGACUGUAAUUAGGUCCCUUACAUAAGUUACGAAAGUUAUCUUCAGCCAUAGAGACAUCAGCCAUAGAGACAUCAGCCAUAGAAACAUCAGCCAUAGAAACAUCAGCCAUAGAGACAUCAGCAACAGAGACAUCAACAAUAGAGACAUCAGCC